rnacentral:rRNA from 1 species
GAUGAACGCUGGCGGCGUGCUUAACACAUGCAAGUCGAACGAUGAAGCCCAGCUUGCUGGGUGGAUUAGUGGCGAACGGGUGAGUAACACGUGAGUAACCUGCCCUUGACUCUGGGAUAAGCCUGGGAAACUGGGUCUAAUACUGGAUAUGACUUCUCAUCGCAUGGUGGGGGGUGGAAAGAUUUAUUGGUCUUGGAUGGACUCGCGGCCUAUCAGCUUGUUGGUGAGGUAAUGGCUCACCAAGGCGACGACGGGUAGCCGGCCUGAGAGGGUGACCGGCCACACUGGGACUGAGACACGGCCCAGACUCCUACGGGAGGCAGCAGUGGGGAAUAUUGCACAAUGGGCGCAAGCCUGAUGCAGCGACGCCGCGUGAGGGAUGACGGCCUUCGGGUUGUAAACCUCUUUCAGUAGGGAAGAAGCGAGAGUGACGGUACCCGCAGAAGAAGCGCCGGCUAACUACGUG